rnacentral:rRNA from 1 species
AUUGAACGCUGGCGGCAGGCCUAACACAUGCAAGUCGAGCGGAUGAAGGGAGCUUGCUCCUGGAUUCAGCGGCGGACGGGUGAGUAAUGCCUAGGAAUCUGCCUGGUAGUGGGGGAUAACGUCCGGAAACGGGCGCUAAUACCGCAUACGUCCUGAGGGAGAAAGUGGGGGAUCUUCGGACCUCACGCUAUCAGAUGAGCCUAGGUCGGAUUAGCUAGUUGGUGGGGUAAAGGCCUACCAAGGCGACGAUCCGCAACUGGUCUGAGGGGAUGAUCAGUCACACUGGAACUGGAACACGGUCCAGACUCCUAAGGGAGGCCGCAGUGGGGAAUAUUGGACAAUGGGCGAAAGCCUGAUCCAGCCAUGCCGCGUGUGUGAAGAAGGUCUUCGGAUUGUAAAGCACUUUAAGUUGGGAGGAAGGGCAGUAAGUUAAUACCUUGCUGUUUUGACGUUACCAACAGAAUAAGCACCGGCUAACUUCGUG